rnacentral:rRNA from 1 species
GACGAACGCUGGCGGCGUGCUUAACACAUGCAAGUUGAACGAUGAACCAGGGCUUGCCCUGGGGAUUAGUGGCGAACGGGUGAGUAACACGUGGGCAACCUGCCCCAGACACCGGGAUAACCUCUCGAAAGAGUGGCUAAUACCGGAUACGACCACUUUGGGCAUCCAACGGUGGUGGAAAGGAUUCUGGUCUGGGAUGGGCCCGCGGCCUAUCAGCUUGUUGGUGGGGUAAUGGCCUACCAAGGCGACGACGGGUAGCCGGCCUGAGAGGGCGACCGGCCACACUGGGACUGAGACACGGCCCAGACUCCUACGGGAGGCAGCAGUGGGGAAUAUUGCGCAAUGGGCGAAAGCCUGACGCAGCGACGCCGCGUGAGGGACGAAGGUCUUCGGAUUGUAAACCUCUUUCAGCAGGGACGAAGCGAAAGUGACUGUACCUGCAGAAGAAGCACCGGCUAACUACGUGCCAGCCGCCGCGGUAA